UAGUUUCUAUGCUUAAAUAGGAAGCGGUAAAAGUCGAGUGAUUUCUUGUCACUCGCGAGUUAUAGGAGUUGGUUGUUCUCCUUCUGUUACAACUAUAAGGAUGAUGGACGGGGCUGGGUUUUUGUUAACUCUUUUGGUGGUCGGUUGAUCACCCCGUCUGUGUACGGAAUCUGUUAAGGCCCGACAGUGGUGGUGUUCGUGAUCAAGUGUUU
rnacentral:lncRNA from 1 species